GUGGGGAAUCUUAGACAAUGGGCGCAAGCCUGAUCUAGCCAUGCCGCGUGAGCGAUGAAGGCCUUAGGGUUGUAAAGCUCUUUCGUGGGGGAAGAUAAUGACUGUACCCCAAGAAGAAGCCCCGGCUAACUCCGUGCCAGCAGCCGCGGUAAUACGGAGGGGGCUAGCGUUGUUCGGAAUUACUGGGCGUAAAGCGCACGUAGGCGGACCGGAAAGUCAGAGGUGAAAUCCCAGGGCUCAACCUUGGAACUGCCUUUGAAACUCCUGGUCUUGAGGUCGAGAGAGGUGAGUGGAAUUCCGAGUGUAGAGGUGAAAUUCGUAGAUAUUCGGAGGAACACCAGUGGCGAAGGCGGCUCACUGGCUCGAUACUGACGCUGAGGUGCGAAAGCGUGGGGAGCAAACAGGAUUAGAUACCCGAGUAGUCC
rnacentral:rRNA from 1 species